AAAAACAUCUUGAAAAGCAGAGUAGCUAUGAUACUUGUUUAUAAAGAGAGUCAACGCGUUGGUGAAAGUUGAUAAACAAGAAGUAGUGAAUAUGGGCUCGAAAUGAUGACCGUUAGUGAUAUUUAGCUGGCGGCGGAGUUGCAUCCGUUAUUCUUGCAAGCUAUUAGUAGAUAGCUGUUAAGAUUUGUUACGUGAGUAACAGAUGAAUUAAAGGUGGUAACACGAGCAUUCGUCCUUUUA
rnacentral:ncRNA from 1 species